rnacentral:rRNA from 1 species
AUUGAACGCUGGCGGCAGGCCUAACACAUGCAAGUCGAACGAGUGGCGGACGGGUUAGUAAUGUCUGGGAAACUGCCCGAUGGAGGGGGAUAACUACUGGAAACGGUAGCUAAUACCGCAUACCAUCGGAUGUGCCCAGAUGGGAUUAGCUAGUAGGUGGGGUACAGGCUCACCUAGGCGACGAUCCCUAGCUGUUCUGAGAGGAUGACCAGCCACACUGGAACUGAGACACGGUCCAGACUCCUACGGGAGGCAGCAGUGGGGAAUAGUGCAAAAUGGGCGCAAGCCUGAUGCAGCCAUGCCGCGUGGAUGAAGAAGGCCUUCGGGUUGUAAAGUACUUUCAGCGGGGAGGCGUUACUCGCAGAAGAAGCACCGGCUAACGCCGUGCCAGCAGCCGCGGUAAUUC